UUCUUGAUCAAGAAUGGCAGCGAGCGCAUCAUUGAUGAAGUCCGCAGGGAGCAGUUCAAGGUUAGGCCUCUGAUGGAUUUUAGCUAUUCAGAGGAUGGAAAAGACAAAGGCGCUUCAGUGCGGGAAAAGGCCAAAGCCAUCUUAGAGCUGUUGAACGACAACGACA
rnacentral:snRNA from 1 species